rnacentral:rRNA from 1 species
UGAGGAAUAUUGGUCAAUGGGCGCAAGCCUGAACCAGCCAUCCCGCGUGCAGGAAGACGGCGCUACGCGUUGUAAACUGCUUUUCCAGGGGAAGAAAACCCACGACGUGUCGUGGCUUGCCGGUACCCUGGGAAUAAGCAUCGGCUAACUCCGUGCCAGCAGCCGCGGUAAUACGGAGGAUGCGAGCGUUAUCCGGAUUUAUUGGGUUUAAAGGGUGCGUAGGCGGAUUAAUAAGUCAGUGGUGAAAACCUUCAGCUUAACUGGAGACUUGCCAUUGAUACUGUUAGUCUUGAGUACGGUCAAGGUAGGCGGAAUGUGUAAUGUAGCGGUGAAAUGCUUAGAUAUUACACAGAACACCGAUUGCGAAGGCAGCUUACUGGACCAAUACUGACGCUGAGGCACGAAAGCGUGGGUAGCGAACAGGAUUAGAUACCCUGGUAGUCCACGCCGUAAACGAUGAUCACUCGCUGUUGGCGAUACACAGUCAGCGGCUAAGCAAAAGCAUUAAGUGAUCCACCUGGGGAGUACGGCCGCAAGGCUG